rnacentral:rRNA from 1 species
ACGCUGGCGGCGUGCCUAACACAUGCAAGUCGAACGGAGAUUACGGACGGAAGUUUUCGGAUGGAAGACUGUAAUUCUUAGUGGCGGACGGGUGAGUAACGCGUGGGCAACCUGCCCUAUACAGGGGGAUAGCAGCUGGAAACGGCUGGUAAGACCGCAUAAGUCGGCGAGACCGCAUGGUUUUGCCGGGAAAUGAGCAAUCAGGUAUAGGAUGGGCCCGCGUCCGAUUAGCCAGUUGGCAGGGUAAAAGCCUACCAAAGCAACGAUCGGUAGCCGGACUGAGAGGUCGGACGGCCACAUUGGGACUGAGACACGGCCCAAACUCCUACGGGAGGCAGCAGUGGGGGAUAUUGCACAAUGGAGGAAACUCUGAUGCAGCGACGCCGCGUGAGUGAAGAAGUAUUUCGGUAUGUAAAGCUCUAUCAGCAGGGAAGAUGAUGACGGUACCUGACUAAGAAGCCCCGGCUAACUACGUGCCAGCAGCCGCGGUAAUACGUAGGGGGCAAGCGUUGUCCGGAUUUACUGGGUGUAAAGGGAGCGCAGGCGGUUUGGCAAGUUGAGAGUGGAAGCAGGGGGCUCAACCCCCUGACUGCUCCCAAAACUGUUAAACUUGAGUAUGGGAGAGGCAGGCGGAAUUCCUAGCGUAGCGGUGAAAUGCUUAGAUAUUAGGAAGAACACCGGUGGCGAAGGCGGCCUGCUGGACCAAAACUGACGCUGAGGCUCGAAAGCGUGGGUAGCAAACAGGAUUAGAUACCCUGGUAGUCCACGCUGUAAACGAUGAAUACUAGGUGCUGGGAGGCAUAAGCCUUUCCGGUGCCGUCGCAACGCAUUAAGUAUUCCACCUGGGGGAGUACGUUCCGCAAGAAUGAACUCAAGGAAUUGACGGGGACCCGCACAGCGGUGGAGACA